rnacentral:rRNA from 1 species
AACGAACGCUGGCGGCAUGCCUAACACAUGCAAGUCGAACGAGACCUUCGGGUCUAGUGGCGCACGGGUGCGUAACGCGUGGGAACCUGCCCUUAGGUUCGGAAUAACUCCCCGAAAGGGGUGCUAAUACCGGAUAAUGUCUUCGGACCAAAGAUUUAUCGCCUUUGGAUGGUCCCGCGUUGGAUUAGCUAGUUGGUAGGGUAAAAGCCUACCAAGGCGACGAUCCAUAGCUGGUCUGAGAGGAUGAUCAGCCACACUGGGGCUGAGACACGGUCCAGAAUACUACGGGAGGGAGCAGUGGGGAAUAGUGGAAAAUGGGGGAAAGCCUGAUCAAGCAAUGACGGGUGAGUGAUGAAGGCGUUAGGGUUGUAAAGCUCUUUUACCCGGGAUGAUAAUGACAGUACCGGGAGAAUAAGCUCCGGCUAACUCCGUG